GUGGGGAAUAUUGCACAAUGGGGGAAACCCUGAUGCAGCGAUGCCGCGUGGAGGAAGAAGGUUUUCGGAUUGUAAACUCCUGUCUUAAAGGACGAUAAUGACGGUACUUUAGGAGGAAGCUCCGGCUAACUACGUGCCAGCAGCCGCGGUAAUACGUAGGGAGCGAGCGUUGUCCGGAAUUACUGGGUGUAAAGGGAGCGUAGGCGGGACGGCAAGUCAGAUGUGAAAUACAUGGGCUCAACCCAUGGGCUGCAUUUGAAACUGCUGUUCUUGAGUGAAGUAGAGGUAAGCGGAAUUCCUGGUGUAGCGGUGAAAUGCGUAGAUAUCAGGAGGAACACCGGUGGCGAAGGCGGCUUACUGGGCUUUUACUGACGCUGAGGCUCGAAAGCGUGGGGAGCAAACAGGAUUAGAAACCCUAGUAGUCC
rnacentral:rRNA from 1 species